rnacentral:rRNA from 1 species
UGAACGCUGGCGGCAGGCCUAACACAUGCAAGUCGAGCGGAUGAAGGGAGCUUGCUCCUGGCUUCAGCGGCGGACGGGUGAGUAAUGCCUAGGAAUCUGCCUGGUAGUGGGGGAUAACGUCCGGAAACGGGCGCUAAUACCGCAUACGUCCUGAGGGAGAAGGUGGGGGAUCUUCGGACCUCACGCUAUCAGAUGAGCCUAGGUCGGAUUAGCUAGUUGGUGGGGUAAAGGCCUACCAAGGCGACGAUCCGUAACUGGUCUGAGAGGAUGAUCAGUCACACUGGAACUGAGACACGGUCCAGACUCCUACGGGAGGCAGCAGUGGGGAAUAUUGGACAAUGGGCGAAAGCCUGAUCCAGCCAUGCCGCGUGUGUGAAGAAGGUCUUCGGAUUGUAAAGCACUUUAAGUUGGGAGGAAGGGCAGUAAGUUAAUACCUUGCUGUUUUGACGUUACCAACAGAAUAAGCACCGGCUAACUUCGUG